rnacentral:misc_RNA from 1 species
GGUUACCGUUGGCUAGCCCCAGAGGUCAGUAGUAUAUCCCUUGGUCACAAUUUUCCAAAUUAAUAAUGGUAAAAGAUGUCUAGGUUGAUCAUGAAUCGAUUAAACAUCUCUUUGCUACAACUUCAAACCUAGAAAUUUUGGAGUUCAGCAUGCAUUAUCAGCGUUACCUUACUCCCUAAGGACAUUGAAAGUACUCAAUUUUGUUUUGCAUGCCAAUAGGGAAAAUUUAUAUUAUGCUUUCGUGGAUUUGAAAAUGAGAUUGGAAUUAUUCUUAAAUUAUAUCAUUUCUAUCUUGGAAUAACCUUUCUUUUUUUCCUUGUGGCCAAAUGCCUCAUGGGAAACUUUGCUCAUUGUCUUGCUAUGAUGUGGACUGUGGUCGGAGAAAAUUUGGUUUUGUAGGGUAUGGUUAUUAUAGGUUAGAGGUUAUACGUAGAUGUUGCAUUGUUUGUGUAACUGGAUUUUAAUUAUUUGGCUUACUUAUUAAACACUGUUACCUGUCAAACAGCAG